UAAGAUGAGAUAUCUGUAUUUAUUGUUCCUUCCUAAGCCGUAACUUGUUUUCUCUGUGAAUCUGCAUUGGGUCCCGUGGCCCACACUACAUCAUUUUAGAUAAAAGCAGCCUUUGUGUGUGUGUCUUGCACCCAAUUCGUUCACGACCAUGGGGUCAGGUCCCACUAGACCUGUCAUACCCAGCCUUGCUCAGCCUGGCCCUUGUCGGUUCUUACUACGGACAUUUUGUCUCUUCUCUCUCUGAAAGAGGUGGGCAGAAUCCACACAUCCAUCAUGUUAGAAAACCUGUCUAUGAGUUUUGUGUUUUUAUUUUUCAAAUUAAUUGUUUUCUGUGAUUAGUUUCAAUGUGUAAAAUAGAUUAUUAACUGCACUUCUUUAAAAAAAAGAACAAAAGGAUGUACAUCUCCUGUUACCUCCUUGAAAGACCAACUUCUCUAGGCCUUUUUCAGUGGGCUUAUGACUUCAGACAAGGGAAAAAAAACAGUAAAAACAAAAAUAGUACGUGCCUGAAAAAUGACAAAAAAAAAUCUUUUUGUAACAUUUAAAAAACCUGAAAAGCCUUUACUUCUUUGAUAUGCUCAAAUUUUAUGUAAAUUGGUUUUUGCCACGUGUGUUCCUUCGGAUUCUAAGCGACUUCAUGGCUUCUCUGUUGUCUCGUGUAAAGUGUAUAGGAUGGGCUUGUGGCGUAAGCAUUUCAUCUGGUCAGUGGCUCUUUUGAUACUGUACUGCUGCUGGGACUGGGCUGGAACCUGAGCCUCUAGAGGGUGACUGGGUUCCUCUUGGGGGAGAUUGUGGAGAAGAGGGUGAGGUGGCUCAUGUUUUCUUAAACUGUUUGCAGAAACUUUCAAAAGGCAUUUGGCUAAACCUCCCGGCAGUACAGUAUUCUCGUACUCAUUAACGUUUGUGUCUAGGUACUGGUACCUUUCUGUUUAAAAAAAUGUUCUAAGUGUUGGCUUUAAAGUGAAUUUAUCUUUAGUAUGAUAGUUAUAUGAAAAUUAUAGGGUUUGUGUGCAGAGAAUUUUUUUAUAAAGUGCUUUGUAAAAAAAAAAACAAAAAAACAAAUGUAUUCUAGCUUUCGCGGUACAUAUGUGUGAUAACUUUAAUACCCAUGACAGUUAAGUGCAAUUAUUUCAUCACUCUAAAAAUGCUAUUUUUGUGUCAGUUCCUGCAGGUGUUUUCAUGUCUUUGCAAAGUGACACAUUUUGAUGCCUUCUUGAUAAAGUGGUAGACAUUUUGUAGCUUUCUAGAAACUUUGUAUCCAUACGGUAUCAAUGAAAAAUAAAGAAAA
rnacentral:lncRNA from 1 species